UGCACGGAUAGCUCAGUUGGUUAGAGCAUAGUGCUGAUGAUGCCAAGGUUGCAUGUUCAAUCCUUGUAUGGGACAGCUGCGUAU
rnacentral:tRNA from 1 species